rnacentral:lncRNA from 13 species
UGCUUAUUUUAAGAACAAAAUUUAAGUUCCACCAGGCCGAGUGCUGCACUGAAACAUUCCCCAACUACCAAGGAGCAGCAGAAGAAACAGUUUCCUAGAACACAUGCCUGUGCAGAUCUGAAAGUGAAAGGAGAAAGGGAUAAAAAAAGCAGAAGCAGAAACAGAAGCAAAAGCAGGAAGAAAAGAGUAAGAGGCCAUAAAGCAAUAGGAAGCAGAGAAGUAACAGAAAUAAAAAAAGAGGAAGAAUAGGAAAUAGAGGAAGAGGAAGAGAAAGAAGAAGAGGAGGAGGAGGAGGAGGAGGAGGAGGAGGAAGAAGAAGAAGAAGAAGAAGAAGAAGAAGAAGAAGAAGAAGAAGAAGAAGAAGGAGAAGAAUAAGAAAAGAAUUAGAAUAAAAAGAAGAUGAACUAACUGGUGAACCACCACAUUCCAGUGAGCCCCAAUGCUCCAUCUGACAUGGCAAGUAGCGCUCUCUCCAGGAUAGCCAUCUGUGAAACCAGCCCAAAAUAACCCUCCCACUUCUGGGCACCCAUGUGGACCUGAGCUCUAGUAAUAGAGGUAGCUAAAGGCCUUGAACAAGAGUCCGUCCAGUCCAAUCCCAUCCCAACAAACAUUUGGAGAAUACUGCCUUGGGACAUGUGUGGCACAUAAAAGCAUGUGGCCUGGCCUCUUGCUUAGGAGACCUUGCAGAUUCACAGAGAAAUCUGCAGCGCCACAGACAGGCUGAAACAUCCAUAAACUCCUCCCACUGAACUCCCUCACACAGCCCCCAGUGCCAUUCAUGAACACCAUGCCACAGCCCUAAGAGUCUAAUUUCUUGAGGACAGCCUUCUCUGGUCCACUGGGAUGCCUGCCCAGAGAAGAACCCAGAGGAAAGGAGGGAAGCAGAGAUCCCCCUUACUGUGUCAGGUUUCCCCUAAGUAACCAUGUAGGUAGGAGAACUGUUGUAGGUGAGGUGGGUGCUCCUUGGCCGGUUUCUUUAUUUCUUACUUUGCUGUGUGUGUGUGUGUGUGUGUGUGUGUGUGUGUGUGUGUGUGUGUGUGUGUGUGUGUGUGUUU